rnacentral:rRNA from 1 species
UACGUAGGGUGCGAGCGUUAUUCGGAAUUACUGGGCGUAAAGCGUGCGCAGGCGGUUUUGUAAGCCAGAUGUGAAAUCCCCGGGCUCAACCUGGGAAUGGCAUUUGGGACUGCAAGGCUGGAGUACGGCAGAGGAGACUGGAAUUCCUGGUGUAGCAGUGAAAUGCGUAGAUAUCAGGAGGAAUACCGAUGGCGAAGGCAGGUCUCUGGGCUGAUACUGACGCUCAUGCACGAAAGCGUGGGGAGCAAACAGG